rnacentral:rRNA from 1 species
GAUGAACGCUGGCGGCGUGCCUAAUACAUGCAAGUCGAGCGAACGGACGAGAAGCUUGCUUCUCUGAUGUUAGCGGCGGACGGGUGAGUAACACGUGGAUAACCUACCUAUAAGACUGGGAUAACUUCGGGAAACCGGAGCUAAUACCGGAUAAUAUUUUGAACCGCAUGGUUCAAAAGUGAAAGACGGUCUUGCUGUCACUUAUGGAUGGAUCCGCGCUGCAUUAGCUAGUUGGUAAGGUAACGGCUUACCAAGGCAACGAUGCAUAGCCGACCUGAGAGGGUGAUCGGCCACCCUGGAACUGAGACACGGUCCAGACUCCUAUGGGAGGCAGCAGUAGGGAAUCUUCCGCAAUGGGCGAAAGCCUGACGGAGCAACGCCGCGUGAGUGAUGAAGGUCUUCGGAUCGUAAAACUCUGUUAUUAGGGAAGAACAUAUGUGUAAGUAACUGUGCACAUCUUGACGGUACCUAAUCAGAAAGCCACGGCUAACUACGUG